AAAGAAAGAGAGGGGCAUGCCUAACACAUGCGAGUCGAACGAGACCUUCGGGUCUAGUGGCGCACGGGUGCGUAACGCGUGGGAACCUGCCCUUAGGUUCGGAAUAACUCCCCGAAAGGGGUGCUAAUACCGGAUAAUGUCUUCGGACCAAAGAUUUAUCGCCUUUGGAUGGGCCCGCGUUGGAUUAGCUAGUUGGUAGGGUAAAAGCCUACCAAGGCGACGAUCCAUAGCUGGUCUGAGAGGAUGAUCAGCCACACUGGGACUGAGACACGGCCCAGACUCCUACGGGAGGCAGCAGUGGGGAAUAUUGGACAAUGGGCGAAAGCCUGAUCCAGCAAUGCCGCGUGAGUGAUGAAGGCCUUAGGGUUGUAAAGCUCUUUUACCCGGGAUGAUAAUGACAGUACCGGGAGAAUAAGCUCCGGCUAACUCCGUG
rnacentral:rRNA from 1 species